rnacentral:snRNA from 1 species
AAACUUUGCUGUGCUUCUCACCUUCAGGGGUCCAGUCACCCUAAAUCUACCCCCUCUUAAAUGUGCUGACCCCUGUGAUUGCCCCAAAUGCAGCAGUCAGCUGCAUGAUUUGUGGUAGUGGGGGAUUGCAUUUGUGUUCUUCCCUA